rnacentral:rRNA from 1 species
AGCAGCCGCGGUAAUUCCAGCUCCAAUAGCGUAUAUUAAAGUUGUUGCAGUUAAAAGCUCGUAGUUGAAUUUCGGGAUCAAUUUAUUGGUCGUGCAAUAGUACGUACUGGUAUUAUUGGUUCCUACCUUCUGAUGAACCAUGAUGUCAUUAAUUUGGUGUUAUGGGGAAUCAGGACUGUUACUUUGAAAAAUUAGAGUGUUUAAAGCAGGCUCACGCUUGAAUACAUUAGCAUGGAAUAAUGAAAUAGGACGUUUGAUUCUAUUUUGUUGGUUUCUAGGAUCGACGUAAUGAUUAAUAGGGAUAGUUGGGGGCAUUAGUAUUCAAUUGUCAGAGGUGAAAUUCUUGGAUUUAUUGAAGACUAACUACUGCGAAAGCAUUUGCCAAGGAUGUUUUCAUUAAUCAAGAACGAAAGUUAGGGGAUCGAAGACGAUCAGAUACCGUCGUAGUCU